rnacentral:lncRNA from 1 species
UUGAUCCCUUAUCAUAUGCCUAAUUCAUGUGUACUCUUUAUAUGUGCUGGACUUCCCCCUCUAAAAUGGAUUUAAAAUCCUGAUUAGUUUCAGACUUCCUUUUGUAUAGGUUUGAUUGAUUUCUUUCCUUAUUUUCUGAUUUUCCUAUGACUCGAUUUAAGUUACUUGGCUUUCUUUUACUUUUCUGACUUGGUUCAUUCAUGGACCAGUGAUUACAAAAUCUCUGACCCUUGAUUUACUUGCUACUAAUUGAUUUCUCUUACCUUAUUUAUGCCACCGUGUAUUUCAAAGCUCUGCCCCUAAAAUAAACUUCAAGGUAUUUACCCCUAAUUGCCUACUUCGCACAAAAUGCUUGUUUGAUUUAUUUCCUUAAAUAACUUUUACCGUUUGAAUCUAAAUUCCUUAAUUAAAUGAAGUCUUGUGUUCAUUGAUUCUUAAUUGAUAUUUAGUUGCUUAACUAUUUUCUUACCUUGUUUCUACCUGUUCUUCACACUAUAAAUACCUGCUCCUCAUUGACACACGGACAAGCCCUAACUCAUAGUCUUUCUGAACUUACACUUAUACGCAAUAGUAUUCUCUGUUCUUGUCAGCACUAUGGCCUGUUUACAAGACCUAUUGCUUUUCUCUAUUUGUUUCUUUGAACUGGUAUGUCCUGAUUUAAGCUUUAGCGCCACAACAAUGUGAGUAUUUACUAUAUUUGUAUCUAUGUCUACUUACUGUUUAUGUAUAGUUCAACAUUUAAAUUAGCUUGCUGAUUUCUUUCUGCCUGUUCUACUAUGAAUCCCAAAACCCCUUCCUCCCUAUGUGUUUGAGCUAUGGUUUAAGACAUGGCAAUAUGCAAAUUAUUGUCCAUGAAUUAAACUUGACCCCUUGAGAUCCUAGCCUCUAAUAGUGUGUUCUAACAUGCUCAUGGAUGUGCUAGCAUUCUCCAUUAUUGGGUAUGCCCACAGCUUGCUCUUGCCUCUUUCAAUUUCCCUAUAUCUUGGGGAUCCUAGCCUCUAAUAGCAUGUUCUAACAUGCUUAUAGGUGUACUAGCACUCUCUAUUGCUUGGUAUGCCCACAGCCCGCCUUGCCUCUUUUUUUGAUUUCCUUUCUCCUUGAACCUCC